UACGGAGGGUGCGAGCGUUGUCCGGAAUCACUGGGCGUAAAGGGCUCGUAGGCGGUUUGUCGCGUCGGGAGUGAAAACCAUGAGCUUAACUCAUGGCUUGCUUUCGAUACGGGCAGACUAGAGGUAUGCAGGGGGAGAACGGAAUUCCUGGUGUAGCGGUGAAAAUGCGCAGAUAUCAGGAGGAACACCGGUGGCGAAGGCGGGUCUCUGGGCCGAUACUGACGCUGAGGAGCGAAAAGCGUGGGGAGCGAACAGG
rnacentral:rRNA from 1 species